UGUGAACGCUGGCGGUAGGCCUAACACAUGCAAGUCGAACGGCAGCACAGGAGAGCUUGCUCUCUGGGUGGCGAGUGGCGGACGGGUGAGGAAUACAUCGGAAUCUACUCUGUCGUGGGGGAUAACGUAGGGAAACUUACGCUAAUACCGCAUACGACCUACGGGUGAAAGCAGGGGACCUUCGGGCCUUGCGCGAUUGAAUGAGCCGAUGUCGGAUUAGCUAGUUGGCGGGGGAAAGGCCCACCAAGGCGACGAUCCGUAGCUGGUCUGGGAGGAUGAUCAGCCACACUGGAACUGAGAAACGGUCCAGACUCCUACGGGAGGCAGCAGUGGGGAAUAUUGGACAAUGGGCGCAAGCCUGAUCCAGCCAUACCGCGUGGGUGAAGAAGGCCUUCGGGUUGUAAAGCCCUUUUGUUGGGAAAGAAAUCCAGCUGGCUAAUACCCGGUUGGGAUGACGGUACCCAAAGAAUAAGCACCGGCUAACUACGUGCCAGCCGCCGCUGUAA
rnacentral:rRNA from 1 species